UACGGAGGAUCCAAGCGUUAUCCGGAUUCAUUGGGUUUAAAGGGUGCGUAGGCGGAAUGAUAAGUCAGUGGUGAAAGCCUGCAGCUUAACUGCAGAACUGCCAUUGAUACUGUCAAUCUUGAGUAUAUUUGAUGUGGGCGGAAUGUGUCAUGUAGCGGUGAAAUGCUUAGAUAUGACACAGAACACCGAUUGCGAAGGCAGCUCACAAAAACUAUAACUGACGCUGAGGCACGAAAGCGUGGGUAUCAAACAGG
rnacentral:rRNA from 1 species